rfam:Schistosoma rodhaini strain Burundi genome assembly, scaffold: SROB_scaffold0002438
AUCCAGCUGACGAGUCUUAAAUAGGACGAAAUGCGCAUCCUGGAU